UACGAAGGGUGCAAGCGUUACUCGGAAUUACUGGGCGUAAAGCGUGCGUAGGUGGUUCGUUAAGUCUGAUGUGAAAGCCCUGGGCUCAACCUGGGAAUGGCAUUGGAUACUGGCGACCUAGAGUGCGGUAGAGGGUAGCGGAAUUCCCGGUGUAGCAGUGAAAUGCGUAGAUAUCGGGAGGAACAUCUGUGGCGAAGGCGGCUACCUGGACCAGCACUGAACACUGAGGCACGAAAGCGUGGGGAGCAAACAGG
rnacentral:rRNA from 1 species